GGGGAGCAAGCUAACUUGGUAGAAGCGCCGCUCUGAAAAAGCGGAGGAUGUGGAUCGUAACCACAGUUCCCCA
rnacentral:tRNA from 1 species